rnacentral:rRNA from 1 species
CCUACGGGGGGCUGCAGUGGGGAAUAUUGCACAAUGGGCGCAAGCCUGAUGCAGCCAUGCCGCGUGUGUGAAGAAGGCCUUCGGGUUGUAAAGCACUUUCAGCGGGGAGGAAGGCGUUAAGGUUAAUAACCUUGUCGAUUGACGUUACCCGCAGAAGAAGCACCGGCUAACUCCGUGCCAGCAGCCGCGGUAAUACGGAGGGUGCAAGCGUUAAUCGGAAUUACUGGGCGUAAAGCGCACGCAGGCGGUCUGUCAAGUCGGAUGUGAAAUCCCCGGGCUCAACCUGGGAACUGCACUCGAAACUGGCAGGCUAGAGUCUUGUAGAGGGGGGUAGAAUUCCAGGUGUAGCGGUGAAAUGCGUAGAGAUCUGGAGGAAUACCGGUGGCGAAGGCGGCCCCCUGGACAAAGACUGACGCUCAGGUGCGAAAGCGAGGGGAGCAAACAGGAUUAAUACCCCAGUAGUC